rnacentral:rRNA from 1 species
AUUGAACGCUGGCGGCAGGCCUAACACAUGCAAGUCGAGCGGUAGAAGGGAGCUUGCUUCCUUUGAGAGCGGCGGACGGGUGAGUAAUGCCUAGGAAUCUGCCUGGUAGUGGGGGAUAACGUUCGGAAACGGACGCUAAUACCGCAUACGUCCUACGGGAGAAAGUGGGGGAUCUUCGGACCUCACGCUAUCAGAUGAGCCUAGGUCGGAUUAGCUAGUUGGUGAGGUAAUGGCUCACCAAGGCGACGAUCCGUAACUGGUCUGAGAGGAUGAUCAGUCACACUGGAACUGAGACACGGUCCAGACUCCUACGGGAGGCAGCAGUGGGGAAUAUUGGACAAUGGGCGCAAGCCUGAUCCAGCCAUGCCGCGUGUGUGAAGAAGGUCUUCGGAUUGUAAAGCACUUUAAGUUGGGAGGAAGGGUAGUAGCUUAAUACGUUGCUACUUUGACGUUACCGACAGAAUAAGCACCGGCUAACUCUGUG